rnacentral:rRNA from 1 species
CCUACGGGAGGCAGCAGUGAGGAAUAUUGGUCAAUGGCCGGAAGGCUGAACCAGCCAUGCCGCGUGAAGGUCAGUGCCCUAUGGGCGUUAAACUUCUUUUGUGCGGGAGCAAUAAUGGUCACGUGUGGCCAGACGAGAGUACCGUACGAAUAAGCAUCGGCUAACUCCGUGCCAGCAGCCGCGGUAAUACGGGGGAUGCAAGCGUUAUCCGGAUUUAUUGGGUUUAAAGGGUGCGUAGGCUGGGAGGUAAGUCAGCGGUGAAAUGCCCCCGCUCAACGGGGUGAAGUGCCAUUGAUACUGGCUGGCUGGAAUGCGGAUGCGGUGGGAGGAAUGUGUGGUGUAGCGGUGAAAUGCAUAGAUAUCACACAGAACACCGAUUGCGAAGGCAUCUCACGAAUCCGCGAUUGACGCUGAUGCACGAAAGCGUGGGUAUCAAACAGGAUUAGAUACCCGGGUAGUC